rnacentral:rRNA from 1 species
GACAGAGGUCCCAAGCGUUAGGCGGAAUCACUGGGCUUAAAGCGUGUGUAGGCGGAUUUGUAAGUACCUUGUGAAAUCCCACGGCUCAACCGUGGAACUGCUUGGUAUACUGGCUUAUCUUGGGCCAUCUAGGGGCGAGCGGAACAAACGGUGGAGCGGUGAAAUGCGUAGAUAUCGUUUGGAACGCCAAUGGUGAAAACAGCUCGCUGGGGAUGUGCCGACGCUGAGAUACGAAAGCCAGGGGAGCGAACGGG